ensembl:snRNA U1 U1 spliceosomal RNA
AUACUUACCUGGCAAGGGAGAUACCAUGAUCACGAAGGUGGUUUUCCCAGGGCAAGGCUUUAAACUUAAAAGCUUCUGCACAAC